GAUGAACGCUGACGGCGUGCCUAAUACAUGCAAGUCGAGCGAACGGACGAGAAGCUUGCUUCUCUGAUGUUAGCGGCGGACGGGUGAGUAACACGUGGAUAACCUACCUAUAAGACUGGGAUAACUUCGGGAAACCGGAGCUAAUACCGGAUAAUAUUUUGAACCGCAUGGUUCAAAAGUGAAAGACGGUCUUGCUGCCACUUAUAGAUGGAUCCGCGCUGCAUUAGCUAGUUGGUAAGGUAACGGCUUACCAAGGCAACGAUGCAUAGCCGACCUGAGAGGGUGAUCGGCCACACUGGAACUGAGACACGGUCCAGACUCCUACGGGAGGCAGCAGUAGGGAAUCUUCCGCAAUGGGCGAAAGCCUGACGGAGCAACGCCGCGUGAGUGAUGAAGGUCUUCGGAUCGUAAAACUCUGUUAUUAGGGAAGAACAUAUGUGUAAGUAACUGUGCACAUCUUGACGGUACCUAAUCAGAAAGCCACGGCUAACUACGUGCCAGCAGCCGCGGUAAUACGUAGGUGGCAAGCGUUAUCCGGAAUUAUUGGGCGGUAAGCGCGCGUAGCGGUUUUUUAGUCUGAUGUGAAAGCCCACGGCUCAACUGUGAAGGGUCAUUGGAAACUGGAAAACUUGAGUGCAGAAGAGGAAAGUGGAAUUCCAUGUGUAGCGGUGAAAUGCGCAGAGAUAUGGAGGAACACCAGUGGCGAAGGCGACUUUCUGGUCUGUAACUGACGCUGAUGUGCGAAAGCGUGGGGAUCAAACAGGAUUAGAUACCCUGGUAGUCCACGCCGUAAACGAUGAGUGCUAAGUGUUAGGGGGUUUCCGCCCCUUAGUGCUGCAGCUAACGCAUUAAGCACUCCGCCUGGGGAGUACGACCGCAAGGUUGAAACUCAAAGGAAUUGACGGGGACCCGCACAAGCGGUGGAGCAUGUGGUUUAAUUCGAAGCAACGCGAAGAACCUUACCAAAUCUUGACAUCCUUUGACAACUCUAGAGAUAGAGCCUUCCCCUUCGGGGGACAAAGUGACAGGUGGUGCAUGGUUGUCGUCAGCUCGUGUCGUGAGAUGUUGGGUUAAGUCCCGCAACGAGCGCAACCCUUAAGCUUAGUUGCCAUCAUUAAGUUGGGCACUCUAAGUUGACUGCCGGUGACAAACCGGAGGAAGGUGGGGAUGACGUCAAAUCAUCAUGCCCCUUAUGAUUUGGGCUACACACGUGCUACAAUGGACAAUACAAAGGGCAGCGAAACCGCGAGGUCAAGCAAAUCCCAUAAAGUUGUUCUCAGUUCGGAUUGUAGUCUGCAACUCGACUACAUGAAGCUGGAAUCGCUAGUAAUCGUAGAUCAGCAUGCUACGGUGAAUACGUUCCCGGGUCU
rnacentral:rRNA from 1 species